rnacentral:rRNA from 1 species
UACGUAGGGCGCAAGCGUUGUCCGGAAUUAUUGGGCGUAAAGAGCUCGUAGGCGGUCUGUCGCGUCUGCUGUGAAAACUCGGGGCUUAACCCCGGGCCUGCAGUGGGUACGGGCAGACUAGAGUAUGGCAGGGGAGACUGGAAUUCCUGGUGUAGCGGUGAAAUGCGCAGAUAUCAGGAGGAACACCGGUGGCGAAGGCGGGUCUCUGGGCCAAAACUGACGCUGAGGAGCGAAAGCGUGGGGAGCGAACAGG